GGCGCAGCACAGGUACGUGGGCGGGCGGAUCGUGGUGGCUGCGCUUGCGAGGACCCUGAGGUAGAUUGGGUGGUUUCAACAGGAACGCAUCCACUGUCUGAGAGUUUAAACUUGAUUUUGUGAGGGGACGAACAGCGUGACAAUUAAAAGAAGAUCUGGGAAUCAAAAGCUUCCUGAGGCCUUCACCAGAAGCAGAUGCUGGUGCCGUGCUUCUACAGCCUGCAGAACUAAGAGAAGACAUGGAGAAGAGGAGGGAGUAGUUGUGACCGUGGAGGCAGAGAAUGGAGUAAUGUGAUCAUAAAUCAAGGAAUGCUGACAGCCACUAAAGCUGGAGAAGGCCAAGGACAGAUAUUCAAUCCUCCCGUAGAAGUACAGCCCUGCUAAUGCAUUGAUUUUGGACUUCUGGCCUCAGAACUAUUUAUAUAUCAGCUUUUUAUCAGUUGAAAUAAACCACCCUGGGCCGGGUGCAGUGGCUCACACCUGUAAUCCCAGCACUUUGGGAGGCCGAGGUCUGGAAAGCAUGGAAAUUUGUAUCUUCAUUCACUUUUGUUUUCAUGGACUCUUUUCAUGUUUGAACUUUUCAUGAUCCAAUGUGAUAAUUUAUGUGAAAUCUUUCUGCAAACUAUACAGUAUGAUAAAAAUAUAAGGUAGUUUCACUGGAAACAACAGAAGACUAGAAGCUGAUGUGACGUGGCAAUAUCAACCAGGAAUACCCAUCUCGAGUUCUGGAUAUGUGCUCUGAGAAGGUGCCCAUGUCACCGACCACACUGGAGGCCAAUGCAGAUACUGGGGGAAGGUUCCAUGGUAGCUAAGUGUGGACAAGCUAAUCACUGAAGUUCCCUGAUGCAGAGUUGAUAAUCUCUCUAGAGUUGGAUGAAAGACUGUGCUGCCUUGAAGCUCUGAGAGAUGCCAUGCCAAUUCAAGGCAGGGUCUUUAUUGUUGAAACUCUUGCGUAAUGACAUCUUUAUUCAGGUGAAAAUACAGGAUGAAUUUCAACUAUAUGAUAUUGUUUAUGUUCCUCAGACAUGUUAUUUGUCUUUACAAAGAUUGGUUUCAAUAAACUGUGUGACUGAUAUUAAAUAAACAUGGAAUUUUACACAUUCAUAAUA
rnacentral:lncRNA from 10 species